UACGGAGGGUGCGAGCGUUAUCCGGAUUCACUGGGUUUAAAGGGUGCGUAGGCGGGCAUUUAAGUCAGUGGUGAAAUACCUGAGCUUAACUUGGGAACUGCCAUUGAUACUAUUUGUCUUGAAUGUCGUGGAGGUUAGCGGAAUAUGUCAUGUAGCGGUGAAAUGCUUAGAUAUGACAUAGAACACCUAUUGCGAAGGCAGCUAACUACGCGAAUAUUGACGCUGAGGCACGAAAGCGUGGGGAUCAAACAGG
rnacentral:rRNA from 1 species